AUACGUAGGGUGCAAGCGUUAAUCGGAAUUACUGGGCGUAAAGCGUGCGCAGGCGGUUUUGUAAGACAGUGGUGAAAUCCCCGGGCUCAACCUGGGAACUGCCAUUGUGGCUGCAAGGCUGGAGUGCGGCAGAGGGGGAUGGAAUUCCGCGUGUAGCAGUGAAAUGCGUAGAUAUGCGGAGGAACACCGAUGGCGAAGGCAAUCCCCUGGGCCUGCACUGACGCUCAUGCACGAAAGCGUGGGGAGCAAACAGGAUUAGAUACCCUGGUAGUCCACGCCCUAAACGAUGUCAACUGGUUGUUGGGGAUUUAUUUUCUCAGUAACGAAGCUAACGCGUGAAGUUGACCGCCUGGGGAGUACGGCCGCAAGGUUAAAACUCAAAGGAAUUGACGGGG
rnacentral:rRNA from 1 species